UCAAACUCUAGCUAAUGCGACAAGAAGUUCUUGGUUAUUCAGAUCUCAGAAAGACGAGAGCUUGGAUGGGGGCUAACAGGUUGAAGGAAUUACAGAGAGCUGCUACUUUGAAAUGCUUUAUAAAGUCUACUUGAUGGUAUUUACAUAGAGACUGAUUGAAAUUUCAUCCUUUUCAUGUACAUGAUGGCUUUGUUUUCUAUCAAACUUCCAGCAUCAGGCUCCAUAAAAUAAGAAUUGAUAGAACUGCUUUUACAGACGAUGAUAAAUCGUUGACAGAGAAACACAGAGGUAGACACAACAGAAAUGAAAAAUUAAGUCAUAUCUACAGGUAACAACUUUUAGCCAUGUCAAAAAUUUGGGACUCAUGAUCAGUGGGUUUUUGGAUCAACUCCAACAGGUUUUCUCAAGUUUUCACUUUUGAUAUGAUAUGUCUCAUCCUUAAAUUAUUGUAGAUUGAUUUCAGGAUGUAGCUUCUCCAGGAUAGCGUGGAUGAACAAGCAUGCAAGGAAUAGUUUUAUAGCAGGGAGCAAAUUUUUCUAUGCUUGAAUUCACUGGUUAUGAAAUUGCUUCUUUUGUUUAUAUAUGUUAAAUUGGCUAUUUAGUGAUGGGACCGUGCUUCACUUUUUGUGUUUGUAUAUUAAUAGGCUUUCUCUUCAAGGAUUAUUGUUAUUUACACGUCUCAUUUAUACAUCUCAGGUAGAUGUGUUAAAAUUUAACACACGGGCGCAUGUCUCAAUCCUAAUUUUGUUGGAGUAAUUUGAAAAUGGAACUCUUUUGGAGAAGGUGCAUAUGAACAAAUCAACAAGACUGUCAUUUUUACAGCUAUCUUAGGGAAUGUGAUUUGAAGAUGGGAGAAAAAUUUACUGUUCUUGAAUUCACAAUUGUGAGCUUGUAUUAUAUACUCAGAUAUAAUAUGUAGUCUUCUAUGUCAUAAUCUAUAAAACAAAAUU